UAGGGAAUCUUCCGCAAUGGACGAAAGUCUGACGGAGCAACGCCGCGUGAGCGAAGAAGGUCUUCGGAUCGUAAAGCUCUGUUGUUAGGGAAGAACAAGUAUCGGAGGAAAUGCCGGUACCUUGACGGUACCUGACGAGAAAGCCACGGCUAACUACGUGCCAGCAGCCGCGGUAAUACGUAGGUGGCAAGCGUUGUCCGGAUUUAUUGGGCGUAAAGCGCGCGCAGGCGGUCCUUUAAGUCUGAUGUGAAAUCUUGCGGCUCAACCGCAAGCGGUCAUUGGAAACUGGGGGACUUGAGUGCAGAAGAGGAAAGCGGAAUUCCACGUGUAGCGGUGAAAUGCGUAGAGAUGUGGAGGAACACCAGUGGCGAAGGCGGCUUUCUGGUCUGUAACUGACGCUGAGGCGCGAAAGCGUGGGGAGCAAACA
rnacentral:rRNA from 1 species